CCCCAUAAGGAAAACUAGACAAUCCACCAGCCCAGGAGGGGACAAGCAGGAUUAAUCCUCCUCCUCGUCAUCUCUGGCUCCAGCCCCACCCUGGCCCUUGCUGGCAUUCUUCCUCUUCACGUGGCUGGGUUUGGCCACCCCAAUAGGGAAGCAGAGGGAGAAGUCGAUGUGCUUCUGGGAAUCCAGGCGGAUAGUGAAGAACAGGAUAUUUACCACCUGCUCACGGACACGGAUAUGACACUGUUGGAUCAGCACAUGAGCGUGGCAGAUGGACUUAGCCAAGCCAAGCUUGAAGACCUGGGUCUGUAGGCAUCUCUAAGAAAUCAUUGAUCUUCAGGCCCAGGACGUAAUCCAGCUUCAUCUUGCCCUCACCCAGCACCCCAGUGCGGACCAGCCACUGCAGCAGGGCAAUGCCUUCGAACAGACGCCAUGGGUCCUUCUCAUCAAGCGUCAGCAGCUCCUGGGCGGCCUUAUGGAUCUUGACCAGGGUAAAUUUGACCCUCCAGACCUCACAUUUGUUCUGGAGCCCAUACUCACCGAUCAGCUUUAGCUUUUGGUCGAGAUGAGGUUUCUCAAAGGGUCUCUGCGGGGUCACAUAAGUUUGGCGACAAACCCAGCUCUGGGCCGCUGGCAUGUUGGCUCCACUUGCCCGUCUAUGCCUAAGCACAGGCCCUGGUCACUGAGAAAGAGCUCAAAUUUUUUAUAUAUUUCAUCUAAGGUGUUGAUUCUAUUGAUACCCUUAUCCUUUUAACAUGCCCUUAUCCUUUUAAUGUUGGUAAUGAUGCUACCUGUCAUUUCUGAGACUGGUUUGUGUCUUUCGUGUUUUUUUCUGAUCUGUCUGGCUAGAGGUUUACCAAUUGAUUUGAUUUUCCUCAAACUUCUGGUUACAAUGAUUCUCUCUCUCUCUCUUUUCCUGAUUAUAUUAAUUUCUGUUCUGAUCUUUGUUUCCUUUCUUCUGCUUACUGGAUUUUAUUUGCUCUUUUUCUGGUUU
rnacentral:lncRNA from 1 species